GGUAGCUCAGUGGUAGAGUGCUCGCCUAGCAUGCGUGAGCUCCUGGGUUCAAUCCCCAGUACUA
rnacentral:tRNA from 1 species